rnacentral:lncRNA from 1 species
CUCCCCUCUGCCCUCCCAGUUCUUUCCUCAUUUUCAACUUCAAACUAGGAUACCAAUAAUUCCCAAGGGAAACCAUGUGUCUACAGCAAAUUCUGUUAACAAUUAGGUUAAGGUUUUACUAAUGUCAUCUGUUAACAUAUAAGAAAGAAGUGCGCUUCCUGACUACCAUUACAGAAACUACCAAUUUCCUCAGGUUGGGAAUAAGCAGUGCUUUUUUUUCCCUUAAAUUGGCAGAGUCCCACUCUGUCACCCAUUGCAGUGGCCUUGACCUCCCAUGAUCAGGUG